GUCAAAAACAGAUUUAAAACCACGGGCUAACACNGGGAANCCCACUUGAAAUACACCCNCAAAGUUAUGGAAAAUGGGGUAAAAAUUCAACCCGACCAACUAAAAUGGUAAAAAAUUGGGGGGAAAACCGAAGGGGGAAAGACGCCCCUUGGNCCAAAACUUAUCGUAAUGACCAGAAAGGGUGGGGACAAACGAGAAUUAAAUACCCCUGGUAGUCCCCCCCCCUAAAAAAGUUAAAUAGGUUGUCGGGUGUUAAUUAACCUGGUAACGAAAAUAACGCGUGCAAUAGCCCCCCUGGGGAGUACGGUCGCAAGAUAAGACUCAAAGGAAUGNUGGGGACCCGCACAAGCGGUGGAUGAUGUGGANAAAUUCGAUCAACGCGAAAACCUUACAUACCCUUGAGAUGUACGAACCAUGAUGAGAGGUGAGGGUUCCGAAAGGGAGACGUAACACAUGUGUUGCAUAGCCGUAGUCAGCUCGUGUCAUGAGAUGUUGGGUUAAGUAACGCAACGAGCGCAACCCUUGUACCUAGGUUCUACGCAAGAGCACUCUAGGGAGACUGCCGGUGACAAACCGGAGGAAGGUGGGGAUGACCUCAAGUCCUCAUGGGCCUUAUGGGUAGUGCUUCACACGUCAUACAAUGGUCGGAAUAGAGGGUUACCAAGCAGCGAGGUGGAGCCAAUCCCAGAAAACCGAUCGUAGUCCGGAUCGCAGUCUGCAACUCGAAUGCGUGAAGCUGGAAUCGCUAGUAAUAGCGGAUCAGCAUGACGCCUCGCAUACGUUACCGAGUGUUGUACAAAGAUAACUUCACACAAUUAGAGUGGUAAUAAGUAAAGUCGGAACAUGUAAACUAAAAAUAAGGUAAGUCCACAUCUCAUCUCUGGCAAAUAUG
rnacentral:rRNA from 1 species